CAGCCACCAUUAGAAUGGAGUGAGAAGUCCCUUCAGUGUUUUUCAAACUUAAUAAAUCAGAAAAAUCACCUGGGGUGAUUAUUUAAAAGAUGCCUACCCCUCUCCUCUGGAGGUCCUUUGGUCGGUUCGGGGUGGAGCUCAGGAAUCUGUAGUUUGAAAUAGUUAUCCAGGUGAUUCUUUAUAAUUUUGUAUAUUUGGGGGAACGCCCUAUGGCAAAAUUUCAAAACCAAACAAUUCUCUGCUGCAGUGUGGAUGAAAUGAGAGUUCCUGUGGCCAGGAUUCUCACCCGGCCCUGAUUGACUAGCUCACUCCACACCUGUGGGCAAUACAUGGCUAUUGACUCUAUAAAAAAGAGCUCUGCCCAGUGCUCUGCGCGACAUGGUGGCAGGGCUGCAAGGCUGCAGGAGAGCAGAGCAGAGCCUGGAGUGUUGUUAGCGCCAAGGACAGAGGCCUAGAGGAUGGCUGUGCAGGACGACUGUGCAGAGAGGUCCAGAGGACAGCUGUGCGGACAGAGGGAGGCAGAAGCAGAGACUGGCUUGCUGCAUACAGACUCUCUCUGAGUGAAUGGGAUUCUAGUGACUGACUUGCCACUGUGAGAAUAAAGUAGAGGAGUAUGAUGAAAGAGGCUUAGUGACUUGCUGGAGGGGCUGAAGGACAGAGAAGCAAAUGGCGAAGUAUGCUGUGUCAUUGGAAGAGAAAUUCAUAGCUAACCACUACUAGUACUGAGUUCUAAGAGGUGAAGAAGCAGGUGCUUUUUAAAGCAGCCUUCAAGAGGGAAAGAUGAAAUAAAGGAUUCCUGCAAUAGAAGUUAGACCCAGAUGACUUCUCUGGCCCUUGGCAAUGAUACGAUCCCGUACUUUCUUUGAGUGUGUGUUUGAAUGUGUAAAUGCUGUUCAUUAAAUGUUUUAAAAGUUUUAUUCAUUUGUAAUCACUUGACUUUAUAGUUAAGGUAGAAUUUUUAAAGAGGGUAAAAAGCCAGAAAUGCAUAAUAAAUGAAUUUAAAAAAUGAAAACCAACACAGCAAUAUAACUGCAUAGGGAUUAAAGGAACCACAUAAAUUGCAAGCAAAUACUAUUUGGUAUUUUUUUGUGCUUACCUUGUGCUUUUACAUAUUUUAUCUUUAUCCUUACAGUUUUAGCACUCACUCCAAGUCCAGUGUCUCAGUCAGCCUCUCAGUCCUGAGCCAUCCUAGAUGGCUAGUCACUCUAUUCCAAGUGUUUGAUUUGAGGAAAUGUGGGGGAGGGCAUACCUGGCGCAGGUGGGUGGUAGCUCCAUCUCAUGGUGAUCAAGGAGUUUGGC